AGCCACGCCCCUUUUCCAACUCGUGAUUGAGCUCCUGCAGGACAGGUGUUUCAAGUCGUUGCUGGGAUAUUAUACAAAUGGAAGUUUGGAGCGUAUCGUAUGUGCGACCAACGCCUCUCAAAGAACUGGACCAGAAAAUGCAAUAAAGAUGAGAUUUUUUUUAAAUGCCAAGCAGGCCUAAUCGGAGAAGAACCUUUCUGCAUGGUGUCCUGUAGUGCCCACUGGACUGCAGGCCUGGAGGUUGCGCUGUUUUCAAGAUGGCUCUGCAGGAGUGUUGCAUCAGCAACGUUGGGAUCUCCAGAAAUGCCACGAACCACCAUCUGAUCACACAUGUGGAUUGUGAACCCGCACCAAAGGUAGGCUGCUUUCUUAGAUGUUUAACACCUUUCUUUAGAAAGAAACAGCAAAAUUGAAUUGUAGCUUUAAAUUCAAUUAUGCAAAAUUAUCGAUUCCCUUAUGGUUUUUACUGCUUCUAGAAACAGUCCAGUAAAAUACAAAACUGUCCAGGUGAACGAAUGUUUAUAGAUCGCAAAAUAAUGCUUAAUCCAUUAAACUGAAACAUUCUAUAAAAUGAGGCAAUGAGCAAAAACUAGUCAGCCGUUUGUUUCAUAAUAAAGUUUAUUCUAUAUUACAAAUAGUAUUUUGUUCUUGACUGCAAAAUAGGAAUGCAUUAUAUUUACAUACACAGGUAUACAAUUAAUUAUAACAAAGUUAGAGAAGCUCGCCUUAUAAUCCCCCAGGUUUCGUUUUUAUCUCUCAAUAAGAUACUCUUUAUCUUUCAGAUAUGAUCUAGUAAAAGUCUUUUCUACCAUGUUUGUGUAACACCUGCGAUAACACUGAGCUAGGAGGACAUUUUAAAUUCCUACAAAAUGUUUGAAGGUGGAAACUUUAUCUGUGCUGUUGGUAGCACGGGGAGGCUACAAGCAGGCAACCUUUGUUGGAGGGUAAAUGUUGAGCCAGGAAGAAAGGAAAGCUGGGAAGUAGCACUGAGGAGGGAGUUUUACAAUGAUAUCCAAGGACUCUCGGCUUGUGCUUUUCAUUGUUUCUGCGUUUUAGACACGGUAUAUGCAGAGAGAGUCUUUACUGGAAGGUUUCAGUUUGCUGUUUCUUAAAAUUCAGAAAAUCUUUUGAUAUGUCGUCUAAGUGUACCUCUCUAAAUUUCAACAGGCAAGGAAUCUCCUCAUAAGAAAAAGGUGAACAAUUAGUUUCAUAUACCUAUAUUUUUUCCCUGAUGAGUGAAUAUACCAUAGCCUAAGCGGUAGCAUGUUGUGCCAACAGCACUCUUCAGUGUGGAAGCCAUUACUGAAGGAAUAAGUCUUAAAAUUAGCUAUUUUUAGUGUUUUGAAGUCAGAGGAAGCAUAAAUAAACUAAGAUAUGAUUUAGAAAGAAGUUGCAUUCUGUGGAGACAUACUGGCUGUAUGUUCAGGCUGCUGGUGGUUUUGCUUCCUCUAAUUUUUUUUUUAAACUUUUGUAGUCAUGUCAAACUUUAGAGUAUGAAAUGAGCUGUUCACCAUGAGAUGGCGAAUUUGAAAAUGCCUUAGAUAUAUUGUGUAGAGUUGGCCAAGAAGCGUAUUGAACCGGAGCCAGCUUCUGUAGAUUCCAGAACGGCUGAAUGCUUUAUAGCAAAGUUUCUGAGUUUGAACUUUCAGCCUCAGUUAGUCAUAGAACAUGCUGGAUUUUCCUUGUUGUAACUCUCAGAGGUAAAAUUUGUGUUUAUUUUGUGUAAAGAUUAAACUCGACCUUUUUGAAAUGGUGAUGCCGACCCGCUUAUCGCCAAGAAAAGAUGAUCUACAGCUGGAGAUGUCAGCAUGGUAGUUUUAUUGGAUUUCAAAAGGUUUGGGGUCUAGUGAGCAACGUUUACUGUAUUUCCAACACAAGUAUUUGAUGACCGUUCAAGUUUUACAAAAACCUGAGAUCAGAAAUUGGAAAACUUGGGGCAACUCGAGCCAAAAUAUAUUUUCUUUUUAUUAAUGAAGCAAUGUCUGUUGGUUUUCAUCAGUGACUUUCUUUUGUGCUCUUGAUACGUUUCCUUUCUGUCCAAGCUCAACAGAUAGGUGGUAAAAUAAUCAACUGCAGGGUUUGUAUGUUUUCUCACCCAAAAUCCGAACCACACAGGAGGCACUGAGGGCCUGUAACGAAGGACAUGGUAGACCUAAAUCUCCCAAGUAGUUGCAGGAGUAUAUGAAUAUCUUUGAGCAAGGCAUUUCCAUUUCAUACCAUCCAAAUAGGUCAACAUGCAAAGGUAAAUAUCUGUAAUAUUUAGCAACUACCACUUCACAAAAACUGUGUGUGUGAAACUCUGCAGGAGGCCAAACGCGAUAAAGGUUCCACCUUAAACAACAGUUUUUCUUAUAUGAACAGUCCACUUUUUUCCCCAUCUCGGUUCUUCCAAGCAAAAGAAAGAAUAAAGAACACAUCCACAUCAUCAUUGCAAGGCUUAGUUUUCUUGUUUUUCACUUUUUUUCUUUAAAAUAAGUUUCUUAAAUGGUUUACGUUUUACAUGCGCUUAAAAAGCCAAUAAAGGACCCAAGGUGGACCUAGGGCGGUCUUCACACAUUCACAUCACCACAUGGGGCACGUUGUCAAGGCAAAAGAAAGGGCAGAGGUCAAAAGGUACGGAGGGCGCCUCCAUCGUCACUUUCAGUCACUCUUUCACUCCCGUAAUGCCGGCGUAUGUCCGACAACUCGUAACUACUCUUCACGUCUGUGAUGCUGACAGAAUUUUGUUUCUUUUUCUUUGAGGCUUGGAGAAGGCCGCCCCCUGUCACCACAGAGGACAACUACACUAAUACAGAAAGAGUGCCUCAAGAAAUUGGAGUUUUGCCAUAUGCAGCUAGCUACCAUCUCCAAUGCUUGUGCAAAACAGAUAAGCUGUUGAUCGAGGAGCCAGACAAAAAAAAAAAGGGCAGCUGGUGUGCCGAGAGCAGGAGAAGACCGGGGAGGAUCGGAUCGCGUCGCCCACGGAGCCUCUCACCUCGACACACUGAGGUCAGAGAAAAUUACACAGGCUUCUUACAGUUCCAGUCACAAUAUGUUUUUUUUUUUUUUUUGUCAGUUCCUCAGUGGCACUUUAUAAAUACAUUUUUUACCGUUUUUUUGAAAAUUUCAAGCUCCUUUGGUUUUUGGCUGACCAGCAAAGUCCAUCUUGUUUCAAUCCCCCCCCCCCCACAUGAAAGUCUUAAAUAAUAGCAUCCUCGAAAAGACGUGCUACUCAGACAACAAAGCCCCUUUAGGUAGCAGUCAGCCAUCUCUGGCUACACUGUUCAGUCAUUCUUACCCCGUGCAUCUCAGUCAGCUUCUCCCUUUAGCUCCUUAGGGUUGUUGUGGAUGUCUGGGCAGCUGCUGAUUUAUUUAUUUUUUCCUCUUGUGUAUUUUUGUGUGUGCUUUGAUAGACCGUUGGAAGAGG